rnacentral:rRNA from 1 species
UAUUGGUCAAUGGGGGAAACCCUGAACCAGCAACGCCGCGUGAGGGAAGACGGUUUUCGGAUUGUAAACCUCUGUCCUCUGUGAAGAUGAUGACGGUACCUGAGUAAGAAGCCCCGGCUAACUACGUGCCAGCAGCCGCGGUAAUACGUAGGGGGCAAGCGUUAUCCGGAAUUACUGGGUGUAAAGGGAGCGUAGACGGUGAUGUAAGUCUGGAGUGAAAGGCGGGGGCCCAACCCCCGGACUGCUCUGGAAACUAUGUGACUGGAGUGCAGGAGAGGUGAGCGGAAUUCCUAGUGUAGCGGUGAAAUGCGUAGAUAUUAGGAGGAACACCAGUGGCGAAGGCGGCUCACUGGACUGUAACUGACGUUGAGGCUCGAAAGCGUGGGGAGCAAACAGG